rfam:Dipodomys ordii contig_12533, whole genome shotgun sequence.
GGGACUGUGGCUUAAUGGUAGAGUGCUUGCCUAGCAUGCAUGAAGCCCUGAGUUCAAUUCCUCAGUACCCU